UUUCUACUCUCUCCGUCCCAUAUUAAGUGGCGUUUCAUUACACGUAUCUAGACGCAUUUUAAUAUAUAGAUACGUUCAUAUUUAGACAAAUUUGAGUCAUUUAAUAUGGGAUAGAGGGAGUAGCUG
rnacentral:pre_miRNA from 1 species